CCUACGGGUGGCAGCAGUGGGGGAUAUUGCACAAUGGGGGAAACCCUGAUGCAGCGACGCCGCGUGAGUGAAGAAGUAAUUCGGUAUGUAAAGCUCUAUCAGCAGGGAAGAAAAUGACGGUACUUGAGUAAGAAGCCCCGGCUAACUACGUGCCAGCAGCCGCGGUAUUACGUAGGGGGCAAGCGUUAUCCGGAUUUACUGGGGGGAAAGGGAGCGUAGACGGGAGUGCAAGUCUGGAGUGAAAGGCGGGGGCUCAACCCCCGGACUGCUCUGGAAACUGGACGGGUGGAGUGCAGGAGGGGUAAGUGGAAUUCCUGGUGUAGCGGUGAAAUGCGUAGAUAUUAGGAGGAACACCAGUGGCGAAGGCGGCUUACUGGACUGUAACUGACGUUGAGGCUCGAAAGCGUGGGGAGCAAACAGGAUUAGAUACCCCUGUAGUC
rnacentral:rRNA from 1 species